AUACGUAGGUGGCGAGCGUUGUCCGGAUUUACUGGGCGUAAAGGGAGCGUAGGCGGUAUUUUUUAAGUGAGAUGUGAAAUACUCGGGCUUAACCUGAGUGCUGCAUUUCAAACUGGAAGUCUAGAGUGCAGGAGAGGAGAAGGGAAUUCCUAGUGUAGCGGUGAAAUGCGUAGAGAUUAGGAAGAACACCAGUGGCGAAGGCGCUUCUCUGGACUGUAACUGACGCUGAGGCUACGAAAGCGGUGGGGAGC
rnacentral:rRNA from 1 species